GACGAACGCUGGCGGCGUGCUUAACACAUGCAAGUCGAACGGAAAGGCCCUGCUUUUGUGGGGUGCUCGAUUGGCGAACGGGUGAGUAACACGUGAGUAACCUGCCCUUGACUUUGGGAUAACUUCAGGAAACUGGGGCUAAUACCGGAUAGGAGCUCCUGCUGCAUGGUGGGGGUUGGAAAGUUUCGGCGGUUGGGGAUGGACUCGCGGCUUAUCAGCUUGUUGGUGGGGUAGUGGCUUACCAAGGUUUUGACGGGUAGCCGGCCUGGGAGGGUGACCGGCCACAUUGGGACUGAGAUACGGCCCAGACUCCUACGGGAGGCAGCAGUGGGGAAUAUUGCACAAUGGGCGGAAGCCUGAUGCAGCAACGCCGCGUGCGGGAUGACGGCCUUCGGGUUGUAAACCGCUUUCGCCUGUGACGAAGCGUGAGUGACGGUAAUGGGUAAAGAAGCACCGGCUAACUACGUG
rnacentral:rRNA from 1 species